rfam:Nomascus leucogenys chromosome 1a, whole genome shotgun sequence.
GCCAGGCGUGGUGGCGGGCGCCUGUAAUCCCAGCUACUUAGGAGGCUGAGGCAGGAGAAUUGCUUGAACCCGGGAGGCAGAGGUUGCAGUGAGCCAAGAUCGCCCCAUUGCACUCCAGCCUGGGUGACAGAGCAAGACUCUGUUUCAA